rnacentral:tmRNA from 1 species
GGGGCUGACUUGGAUUUCGACAGAUUUCUUGUCGCACAGAUAGCAUGCCAAGUGCUACUUGUAAAACAGCAACAAAAAUAACUGUAAACAACACAGAUUACGCUCCAGCUUACGCUAAAGCUGCGUGAGUUAAUCUCCUUUUGGAGCUGGACUGAUUAGAAUUUCUAGCGUUUUAAUCACUCCAUAACCUUAAGCUAGACGCUUUUAAAAGGUGGUUCGCCUUUUAAACUAAGAAACAAGAACUCUUAAAACUACCUCAAGGUUUUAGAAAGUUGGACCAGAGCUAGUUUUAAGGCUAAAAAACUAACCAAUUUUCUAAGCAUUGUAGAAGUUUGUGUUUAGGACAAGAUUUUUGGACUGGGGUUCGAUUCCCCACAGCUCCACCA